rnacentral:rRNA from 1 species
UGGUCAAGCGAAUAAGCGCACACGGUGGAUGCCUAGGCGGUCAGUGGCGAUGUAGGACGUGGUAGCCUGCGAAAAGUGUCGGGGAGCUGGCAACAAGCUUUGAUCCGGCAAUAUCCGAAUGGGGAAACCCACUGCUUCGGCAGUAUCUUGCAGUGAAUUCAUAGCUGCUUGAAGCGAACCCCGU